UUAAAAAUUAGUUUUGAAUGUUAAAAAUGUUAGUUUUAUUUUUGUGGUAUUUUUGGAAAAAUGUAUUUUUCAGUAGUAUUUUUAGAAAAUAAAACUCAUAAUGAUAGUUCUGGAAAAAAAAACGUACUCAUUUUAGAGAUAUUUGAGAGAACUCCCUUUUAUAAUAUAAAAUUAUUUUCCGUUUCUAUAUGUAAAAGUUUUUUUUAUGCAUAAUUGAAUAUUAUAUAAAAAGAAAAUAUAUUUUAUUCUAAUAUUAUAAAUAUGAACUGAAAAGAAUAAUUAGUAUCUUUUCACG
rnacentral:lncRNA from 1 species